AGUGAUUUUUUUUUAAAUGGCCGCAGUACCUUGACUGUGCUAAGGUAGCAUAAUCAAUUGGCUUCUAAUUAAAGUCUGGAAUGAAAGGAAAUAUGAAGUAAUUCUAUCUUAAAGGAUUUUUUUUGAAUUUAUUCAAAUGAUGAAAAUAUCAUUUUGUAGAAAAAAGACGAGAAGACCCUUAGAGUUUUGAUUUUUUUUAUAUUUUUGUUGGGGCGACAGGUAAACAACUAAACUUUACGAAUUUAUUAUUGAUCGAUUUUUUAUAAGAAUAAUAAAACUACCUUAGGGAUAACAGCAUUAUAUUUUUUUUAUGAUUGUGACCUCGAUGUUGGACUAGGAACUUUAUGGCUAGCCGUCAAAAAAGAUUUGUUCUGUUCGAACAAUUUUAUCCUACAUGAUCUGAG
rnacentral:rRNA from 1 species